rnacentral:rRNA from 1 species
UACGUAGGGGGCAAGCGUUGUCCGGAUUUAUUGGGCGUAAAGAGCGUGUAGGCGGCUUGGUAGGUCCGCUGUGAAAACUCGAGGCUCAACCUCGAGAUGUCGGCGGAAACCACUUGGCUAGAGUCCGGAAGAGGAGAGUGGAAUUCCUGGUGUAGCGGUGAAAUGCGCAGAUAUCAGGAGGAACACCGGUGGCGAAGGCGGGUCUCUGGGCCGUUACUGACGCUGGAGGAGCGAAAGCGUGGGGAGCGAACAGG